GAUGAACGCUGGCGGCGUGCCUAAUACAUGCAAGUCGAGCGAACAGACGAGGAGCUUGCUCCUCUGACGUUAGCGGCGGACGGGUGAGUAACACGUGGAUAACCUACCUAUAAGACUGGGAUAACUUCGGGAAACCGGAGCUAAUACCGGAUAAUAUAUUGAACCGCAUGGUUCAAUAGUGAAAGACGGUUUUGCUGUCACUUAUAGAUGGAUCCGCGCCGCAUUAGCUAGUUGGUAAGGUAACGGCUUGCCAAGGCAACGAUGCGUAGCCGACCUGAGAGGGUGAUCGGCCACACUGGAACUGAGACACGGUCCAGACUCCUACGGGAGGCAGCAGUAGGGAAUCUUCCGCAAUGGGCGAAAGCCUGACGGAGCAACGCCGCGUGAGUGAUGAAGGUCUUCGGAUCGUAAAACUCUGUUAUUAGGGAAGAACAAAUGUGUAAGUAACUAUGCACGUCUUGACGGUACCUAAUCAGAAAGCCAUGGCUAACUACGUG
rnacentral:rRNA from 1 species